GACAGAGGUCCCGAGCGUUGUUCGGAUUCAUUGGGCGUAAAGGGUGUGUAGGAGGUCAGGUAAGUCAGAUGUGAAAUCUCACCGCUUAACGGUGAAACUGCGUUUGAUACUGCUUGGCUAGAGGAUCGGAGGGGGUAUCGGAAUUCAUGGUGUAGCAGUGAAAUGCGUAGAUAUCAUGAGGAACACCGGUGGCGAAGGCGGAUACCUGGAAGAUUCCUGACUCUGAAACACGAAAGCUAGGGGAGCAAACGGG
rnacentral:rRNA from 1 species